rnacentral:rRNA from 1 species
ACUGACGCUGAGGAGCGAAAGCGUGGGGAGCGAACAGGAUUAGAUACCCUGGUAGUCCACGCCGUAAACGGUGGAUGCUGGAUGUGGGGCCCGUUCCACGGGUUCCGUGUCGGAGCUAACGCGUUAAGCAUCCCGCCUGGGGAGUACGGCCGCAAGGCUAAAACUCAAAGAAAUUGACGGGGGCCCGCACAAGCGGCGGAGCAUGCGGAUUAAUUCGAUGCAACGCGAAGAACCUUACCUGGGCUUGACAUGUUCCCGACGAUCCCAGAGAUGGGGUUUCCCUUCGGGGCGGGUUCACAG